UUUUUGUCACUGGUUGAUGCGUUUGGUUUCUCGUCGUGUGUGGUGCUGUUAUACGUUAUAGUUCAUGCUACUGUUGCAUGUAUUUGUUUUGCUGCUUAAGUCAGCCCUUUUCUUUCGUUGUGUUUUGUUUGUGCUUGGUGUUUGUUUGAUUUAAAGGGCCAACAACGACUACCUCCGCCUGCGCCUGGUUCCUUACUCCCGCAACCCAUGACUGAAGGCAUGAUGUGAGGUUAUGAAAAUAUGCACCAGAGAGGCAACCUUUUCAGAUACAUGGGUUUGUAGGGUAUGUUUGUGCUGUUAAUCGUUACCCUUUGAAGAUUCCAGGGCAGAGUGAAAUCCUAGUGUGGGGCUGAACCAGAACUGGUGUGCAUGGAAAGGACUAUCAGUGUCUGGUGGAACCCCUCAUGGAUAAUGAACCGCUUACAGCCAGAGCAUUGUCUACGGUUCAGCAGGGAUGACUCCCCAUCAGAAUGCUAGUAAUAAAGCUACAAGAGGGCAAUGAACGUGUCAUUAGCUUUGCAAGUAGAAGUCUACAUCCCUCCGAAUAGAGAACGUGGGAGAAUCUCCAAAACAAUGACCCAACACUAAAGAAGGUGCUCGGUAACCUUCAGCGAGCAGAACCACGUAAUAGGUUGGAAAGAGUGAAGGAGUCUGAAGAGGUCCGGAAGGUAUUACGGCAAUGGGACCCCCUCUCCCUGAAGGAUGGUGUCCUGGUCCGGAGCUGCCAAGAUCCCAAGGAAGUGGAACCCAGGAUGCAGGUGGUGGCCCCAGCAGGAUUUAUGGAAUAACUAGAAGUCACACUACGCCAUAUCAUCCGGCUGGAAAUGGAGGGUGUGAAAGGUUUAACAGAACUCUUUUAGGCUUGCUGGGGACACUAGGAGAAGAGAUGUCACUGGCAUGACCACCUACAGGAAAAGAUUCAGGUAUACAACAACUCCGUACACAGUGCCACUGGAUAUACACCUCACUACCUUAUGUUUGGAAGACAUGGGUUUCCCCUUCAGGAUUUGCUCUUGGUGAGCGAGUGCUGGUGAGACAUGAGGGCAAAGGGCCGAGGUAAGCUGGCUGAUCGUUGGGAACCCCUCCCCCAUGUGGUAGUUAGACAAACUGGGCCAAGAAUACCAGUUUAUGUACUUAGACCCGAGCAAGGAGGGAGGGAAAGUUUUACAUCGCAAUUUAUUGAGGCCCUGUUAAUUUCCGCCUAGUGCCCUUGUUAGGGACGGGGUAGGCCCAUGUAGUCAAAAUGACUCCACCCAGCCUCAGUCGUCCCCAAUUUAGCCAAAGGGAGAAGGCCCCGGUAGCUAUUCCUUGGGUUGGGUUUUGGACAUGGACUGGUGUGGAGUCAAGACUAGGUGAUGUGGGCGAUGGGGACGCUGGGCGAGCUCGAUUCGGCGAUGACAGGACAAGGGGAGCUGGACAAAGUGAUCAGGGCUAUCUGGAGCCGGAGGUAGCGUCUGAGGAGCCCGUGGUUGGAUUGGAAGGACAGCUCAUCGAGGACAUCUAAAGGGGUUCCCCCUAACAGAUAUAGAGACUAAAGUUCUAGAGACUGAGACUUGGUAUGUUCAUUGGAGACGCUGACUUUUCAGCAGGGAUGUAUGUAACAGGGUUGGAACACGCCUUUUUAGUGUUUGGUAUUAGUUGGGUUCUUUUCACAUGAGUGAUUUUGUGUGUGUGAUUGGUUGACACGGGUGAAUUUGCAGUGGGAUAUAAUUAACUUGGGCAUGUACAGGUAUGCUUGAUUGAGUUUUCUUUUAGCCCUCCCUAUUUAAUGGUGUCUUACCAGUCACACACGGGCUGGGCAGUGGAUUGUUUGUGUGCAGGUGCGAGAAGCAGUGCUGCGCCGAAUGCGUUGUUGAACUUCCCUCUGAUCUGCUGUAAUCAAGAAAAGUGUGAAUUAACCUUGUCUUUGAACUGGUUGGUGGAAGUAUCUAAAGGACUGACAGGCUACAGCAGUUCUCGUUACCUGGGACACAACAUUGGGACUCAAGA